rnacentral:rRNA from 1 species
UACGAGGGGGGCGAGCGUUGUUCGGAAUUAUUGGGCGUAAAGGGUGCGUAGGCGGUUUGGUAAGUCUUGUGUGAAAUCUUCGGGCUUAACUCGAAGUCUGCACUGGAAACUACAGGGCUGGAGUGUCGGAGAGGAUGGCGGAAUUCCUGGUGUAGAGGUGAAAUUCGUAGAUAUCAGGAGGAACACCGGUGGCGAAGGCGGCCAUCUGGACGACAACUGACGCUGAGGCGCGAAAGCGUGGGGAUCAAACAGG